GGGGGGGGUGUGGGCGGUGAUGGCGGAGAUGGGGGUGGUGGGGAAAGCGUACAAAAAUAAUGUGAAAGAGGAGGAUGGGACUAGACUGGUCGGGCAAAACUCGGGUGAAAGUGGGGUGUGCUAGUGGUUUUUUUUUAAUAUAUAUAUUUUUUAUUUUUAGAUCCCUUUGUUGUAAGUGCUAGGAAGAAUGUUGUGCCAUGAUGUUUGACAACAUUGUAUUUGAACCAUGGUCUCAAAACAGACUAGGAAAGUUAUGAUUUUAAG
rnacentral:misc_RNA from 1 species